rnacentral:lncRNA from 1 species
UUACAUUUUCAAGUAAACUGAAUACUUUUUCACACAAACGCAACAGGUGCGUUCGCUGAGGAAAGUUUUAUGUUCGGCGAAAAAAGAAAUCCAACCAACUUACUUUUUCAAAUAAACGGAAUGUUUGUUCUAGCGAACGCAAGGGUUGCGUUCGUUCAGUAAAGUUACUCGUUCCCCAAAAAAAGGGCCCAACAAACUUGCCUUUCUAAACAAACGG